CAGUUUCAUCAGAGUGGUUUUACAUAACCAGUGUCACCUCCACCGCAGCCAUCGCUGACGGAGUCUCGAUGUCUGUCGGUGUGCAGAGAGACCGUGCCAGGCAACUGUCGCAUGUUGUGUUUUAUGCUGUCUUUUAACACAACUCUAAAUCAGGUCCAUUCCCUGAGUGGAUAGAGUGUUUAGCCUGUGCGUGUGUGUGUGGUGUGUGUGUGUGUGUGUAAGCCCAUACGAACUCCCUUGGGCAUUAUCGGCAGGUAAAUUCAGGUGCAAUUGGUUAGCUUGUUUUUAUGUUCUACCAAUAUGGGUCGGACUGUAAGCACGACGAGUCCGGCGUCUGCAAAGCGGUAUCCACGGACGCUGAAGCCAUGAGAGGAUGUCUUCUCCCAGGUUCUCCCCAUCUCUCCUCCAUCAGCGGCAGGCCAAGGCAGACCUAAGGCCAGGCUAGGUUUUUACAUAAAUAGUGUGUGAAGAUGAAAGCUGAAGCUAACAGAGGCUUUGUCUAAUCUGUUCUUAAGGCCAGUACCUCAGCUUACAGUCAGCUUGGAGACCGCGUCUCAUAGGUCUGGGAGCACUUACCGUUUAUUUAUACCCCCCUCCUGCAAGCAUGACAGCUUGUUCUGAUCAUAAAGUGGCCGGCUCGGAGCCGGGCUCCCUCUCCAUCCCCGUGACAAUCCAACCAGCUGCAGGUUGUGUUGUAACGAACCCACCAGCAUCGCCACCAAACGCACUCCUACGCUGUGUGUGUGUGUGUGUGUGUGUGUGUGUGUGUGUGUGUGUGUGUGUGUGUGUGUGUGUGUGUGUGGUGUGUGUGUGUGUGUGUGUGUGUGUGUGUGUGUGUGUGUGUGUGUGGGGGUGUGGGGGUGUGGGGGUGUGUGUGUGUGGGGGUGUGUGUGUGUGUGGGGGUGUGUGUGUGUGGGGGUGUGUGUGUGGGGGUGUGUGCGCUCACUUCUCACGGCCGGUUUUUGAUUUGAACAGAGCUGAGGGGUAUCAAAUCUAGGUCCGUCCUUCAAGCACCGUGUGAUUCGAACCAGAGUGGUGUGUGUGUGCAUUGCUGCCGUCUUGACAGUACACACACUCAUAUACAGUCAGGAAUAUUGGGUUCAGAUAAAUAUGUCUGAAGGAUAAAGGUUUCACCACCCAUCUGCACUGACUGUUUCAGUGCGAGUAUGAAAGGCCUUUUGAUAUUGGCUGCCAGUCGUUGAAAUCAAUCCUAUUUAUUACUUUUUUAUGCGCUAGAUUAAGACCUGCAUGACUUCGAUCACCACCUUCAACAAUGAAACCGUCACAGAGGGUGAGCCAGGAAGGACGAUUUAUUAUUCUAUAUCGUCUUGGCCAAUAGAAGCGUUCUGCGCUUAUCAAUAUUUAUUCAAACUUAUACAAAUCAUUCUAUGUAGCCUUGCAAUCGAGAAGGGUCAAGGGGGGCCAAACAACAAAAACGGGGGCCCCAGAACCUCAACCUAUUGUGGUUUUUGCUGACAUAAUUUGUUCAGAAAUGCUCUUCUCUGCCCUGAGUUCUGGUUAGUUGUGACGGCGUAGAGACUGGGCGACAGCCGCUGUCCACAGUCAGACUAGACGCCCGUCUAGUCUGACAGAGCUGCUCCCUAAUGCCGUGCGUCUGAUUUCUCUGGAUAAGUCGAUUUAGAUGGCAGCGUCUGCUGAAUGGCUCAACAGGAAAAUAGUUUGUUUCCUCUCCAGCCGCGAGCCCAAGCCUUCCGCGAGCGAAUGCACGCCUCCACACAACGCUGGGUAAACCGAACGCAGAGGUGCCGCGGCUUUUUAUCUCUGCUCCGCGCGCUCGCAAGGCUACCGCUCUGACGGCUGAGACAAAGCACUGGAAGGCUAGCGUGUAAGGCUACUCUGCAAUCAGACAUCUUGUUGCUGAUUGGCAACACACCUACACUAAAGCUCAUUAGCGCCUGGUUCUCACACACUGUACGCUCCUCAUUUGGCCUGUGUGGGUUGCACCGCUUCCCCGGGAGCGCGACUCUCCUCCUCUGCUCUUGUUCGGCUCUUGAAGUGUUGCUUAUCAGACAAGUGGCCCUGAUCUCUGCUUGAGAUGCAGCCUUUUUAAAUGGCAUUUUCAGGGCACAGGUUAGCCUAGAUUUGCUAGCAAUCGAAAGCCCCGCGAGUAGAUGUCAGUCACGGGAGCGGCUUCAAACGAGAACGGGGACUGGCGUUCUCUCGGGGCGGCUCUGUGCUGGUUUACGACGCCACCGUGUCUGAGUGGGAGAGCUGUAUUUUUACCACCGCGCAGCGUUUGAUGCGUGCAGCGCCGUGGCCUAAUAAACACACAUCUCCCGUCACUGCGAUGCGGUAAUGUGGUGUCUUGCUAAUCGGUUGUGAGGGGGAGCUCGCGACGCAUCGUGCCUGUUUCUGACUGAGCCGUCGAAGAAAGCCUGUCCUUUUAAGAGAAGGACCUGGUCCCCCUCCUCGGUGAUCUGUGAGAGGUAUCGAUGCAGAUGUGUUCUGUACUGCGUCGUAACACUUCCUGCAGGGAAUCACAGACGCUGCCUCUGUCGUCGUCCUCCUUGCUCGCGGUUCGUGUCGGGGGGGCCCCCUCCUGCGACGGACUGAUCUCUGUCGUCCCGUCUGGGCGCCUCUCAGAUGGGUCGACACUCGACACCGCCGUCUAUUUUUAAACCGACGGAUGAUAAUUGUUUAUGCUUGCUUUAAUUUAUUCCGACAUUAGUGAAACCAGGUCCUUCAGGGGGUGCGCGUGUGUUUGAAUCCAUAGUGAUGGAGCUUCUGAAAUGGAGACGGCGUCGCCGCACUUGAGCGCCGUUCGAUUCGGGACACACACGCGCAGCUGUGGAACCGGUUCUCCGUGUCUCGGCACAAUCGCACCCGCCGGGUUCACGCGGGGCGACCAGACUGGGGUGUGUUUAUUUAAACCAGCCGUGGCGUGCCCGUGCGAAACAGGCCUGUCCUAAACGGGGCCGCCAGCCUGGCCUCCCUUGUUGUUGCUUGCAGCUUUCUGAGGAACUCCUCUAUCCAAACAACCUCCCCCCUUCACACGACCCCUCCCUGGUCCUCAGCAACGCACCACCGAGUGUGGAGCCCUUCGAUGAACGCUUGUCCAGGGAAUCGAAUGCUUACAUACUUUCAAAUGUGCCCAGCCUCCUCCAUCAUGGGGAGAUGAUACAAAGGCAGGAUGCCAUCCCUUUUUCAGACCAAGGAUGGACUGAGUUCAUCGCUAGAGGCUCACUGACUCAUUUAAGGUCAAGUUCUGGUAGUUAAACUUAGUUUUCCUGUUAGUGUUCUUGAUCUUGUCUACGUGUUAUCAUCACUCUGGUCUGUCAUCUUUUUAUCUCUUAACCUUUAAUUAAUUAUUAGUUUUUUUUAGGCAGUACGUGGAUUUUCCACCAUUCCCUUCAGGAAACUAAAACGGAAACUAAAUUGGUUUACUAUAAGAAGAGCUGCUGUUUCAUCCUUCAUUUGAAUUCUGCUCGGUUAAUCUCUGUCCUUUAAUGUCACGCUGUGGGUGGGCUCAUUUGAGGCUAGUAAAUUUGAUCAGCUGGCAAAUCACUUUCAUCAAUUUCAAUUUCACAGUUUUUAAGAUGGAUUGACAAAGGUCAUCAAUUUGUUAGGAAUUGAUGAAACACCAAUCAUUUUUAAGUACGUAGAGGAAAGUAGGUAGUACUGUAUUACCGUUGUGCAAAAAUAAAAUGAUAUUGGUUUGGUUUGUGAGCAUGCAGGCUGAGUUGACCAUGUCUGUCCGACCAUAAUGCCAUCAGAGCUGAGCUGAAGACACCUCUACUAUUACCGUGCGUGGGGUGCAUUUGAGGAGUGUAUAAUGGGAGUGUGGUUAGAGGCGUGGGUUUGAGGAGGGAGUUGGGUGUGUUGUGGCUUGUAGGAGUGCACAUCGGGUACUGAAGUCUGUUGGGAUAACGUUUGAGGAGUGAGUUGUGUGUUGGGCAUGCCGUUAGAGGGGUGAGGUGUGGUGUAAACAGUUUGAGGAGUGAGGUGUGUGUUGGGCGUGCAGUGAGAGGAGUGAGUUGUGUGUUGGGCGUGCCAUUAGAGGAGUGAGGUGGAGUGCAGUGAGCCCUAUGUUAUAGUGAUGUUUGAUGUGUCCGUUGUGCACGGAUGCAUCCAGUGAGAUGCAGCUGUUAUAUACUUCUGCAACAGUAUUGCCAUUCUGUAGAAAGCGAACAUCAUAGAAGUUUUGACGGUGGCCCUCCAGAGAUUGGGUUAGGCAAAGUCCCACGAGAACCAAUAAUGGACGGGAAAAUGAACUCCCAUAACUAGCUGUUUGAUCAUAAGCAUGUGCACGUGAUCUCCCGUUCAUGGAACUGCAUUCCGGGGUUCAUCCCGUUGCACGUGAAGCGCGCUGCUGGCAGACCGCCAUACAAUCACGCCUACCGCUCAGCAGGCCAGGAAACGUGGACGGGACAGGAUCCAAAUGAAAGAGUCGUGAACAGUAAUGUAGUUAUUCUAAUGGGCUACGUUGACCUCCC